AGCUGGGAUUGUUGAAUUUAACCUAUCUAGCUCAAGAAGCGUUUUCUUUUAUUUUACUCCUCCGGUUUAGAAGUGUGGAGCUGAAUUUGCAAAAGGACGCAAGCCCCCGGGUACGGGGAGCUGGCGACAAGCAUUUUGCUGCAGUGCAGAAGAACGGGUUGUGCAGGGAGCAGUGCUGGGGCUUGCCCCCCCGCCGCUCCUCCCAGUGCGGAGGCUUCGGCCCUGCCGUGUAGCAGGGGGCUCCUGUGGAAUGCCCAGCCACAGCACUGCCUCCCUCACGGAGCAGUGCAGAGAGCCCGGGCUGGGCUGCUUGCCACCAUGGGAACACGCUGUUUGGUUGCCUCUGCUGGGAUUGCUUGCCAUAGGCCAAACUGUUUCAGUGCUUCUGCAGCCAGCAUCAACCACAUAGAGAAAGUUUAUCAGAAAAGUCGGCAUGCGUGCGUUCUUGCACCCACCGCAGGCCUCGGCUUGGCAGGGAGCAGACAUGGCCCUAGAAGCUGGGUUUGGUCAUGCCGCAGUGCUCAUAUUUUACCAACCUUUAAAUUCUUUCCUGGGCGUUUGACCAGUGCCAUCUUGUGGCCUUGUGGGGUUUGGUUUUUUUUCAUUCUUACCACAAAGUGCACUUGGGCACUUAAUUUUUUGCACUUCUGUUCCACGGAAACCUUCUGUUGCCAGAGUAAGUAGAAGUGGGAGAGUCCGACAUCACACGCCUGAAGAUGUAUAGCUCCUUUCUGGUAAUGGAAUCUGAAUGUCACUUAAUAAACCCAAUUUAGCUAAAACUUAACACUGGCUCUGCCAGCAGUAGUGUUCUUUCUCAUUUGAAACCAAUGCGUUUUCAUUGUUUUAUCUUGUUUCUUAGCAACAGCUUUCACUUAGCAUCAAAUAAUUAUUUCAGUCUUGCAACUAAACAUGCAAAGCCGAAAUAUUUCAUGUGCUUAGUACAUUACUUUUCAAAAGAAAACUCUCCUUGUCUCUCAAGUCUUGUUUCCCUGAGAAAAGUUCUUGUUUCCUAAUAUAUCUGAUUUUGUGGCAUUUACCAUGAUUUUUCUCCUUUCAUUGUCACUUCUGAAAGAGGCUGUAAGCUUAAACUGCCAAUUUUCUGCAUGCAUGAGGAAGUGUGUGCUCUGCAGAUCCACGUGUCAUAGAAAAACUGUUUAGAAAUGGAGGACUUGAUCUACUUUUCCUUCUGUUUAUUGAUGGUAGGAAGGAAAACUUUGUGCGAUGUGGUAUUGUCAUGGAGACUACAAUAAACAUAGCUGUUGCUGCUACAGCUUGCUACUGUUUCUGAACAGCCUGCAGCUGCCUUCUGGCUCCAGUGAAGCUGUCAAAUAAAAAAAAAUAGCUACUUUGACUUUUUAGGAAUCUGAAGCUCUCAGCAUUUUCUUCCCUGAAGAGUUUAAAACCAUUUGCAAGUGGCUGCAGCCUUGGUGCGUCAAAGUAAUAGUAUUUGAAGGCUCUUUUCUAAGCAGAACUCAGCUGGCAGUAAGCCGCAGUCAUCUGUGAGAGUCAGCAGGUCCACCUCAGUGCCAUGCUUCAAUCACUUGACAUGAAGUGGUUUUUCUUCCCUGCAGAGCAAAACUUGCCUGAAGCAGAAAAUGGAUCAGGGAGUAGCAGUACAGCAGGCCAAAGUCAGCCCCUGUGCCCAUCUGGUGCAAGAGUUGGAGGUGUGCCUACUGAAACCAGGGCUGAUUUGGUCCUCUAUCUUCACUGUGCAGCAGAUAUCAAAAGGCUGCUCCUCUAGGCUGCAUUGCUGUCAGAGAACUUGUGGUGAUAUGUUUACAUGGUGAUGUAUCAAAGUGAAAAAAUAAAUCUUACAAAUCACUACUCAGUAUGCGCAUCUUCCUCUGGGAAGAUGCUGGGGGGGGGGGAAUGGUUGAACAUCUGUUUAGUGUGCUAUUAGACUGUGCAUAUAUUCUGGUGAUGAGUGCAGAAUGAAAGAAACAAUAUAGAAAAGCAAACAGGAAUAUUUCAGAAAGUUUUACAACAAUGUUUUGGAAAAGGACUGUUUGGUAGUCAAAGUAUCAUGACACUGUGCUUGAUGGCUCUUGUCUAGAACCUCAGGGCUUUAAUAUAUGUUGUGUUUAAGUGUGAUUGAAAUCUUUUGGGUUUCCAUAUCUAGCAGAAAGUUCUAAGCAAUGGUAUCUGUACUUGCGUUCUGAGCAGAAGUCUCAACAUAAAAAAAAACAAGGGAGUAAUUCCUAUCUGAUGUGGAAGGAAUUGAACACACUCGACUUCUGUCAGCUGUAAGUGCUGUCUGUAGAUGCCCUGUAUUGAUGAAAGGUGUUGGAUGAUAUGCACUUUCAUAGAAGGCUCCACAAAUUGAAAUAGCAGUGCUCUAACAGAUUCUUCCUUCUAAAGUCGCUUAGCAAUAGCUAUCAAAUCAGCUACUAAUACAGUUAUAUAAAAUGUGUCCGUGCAUUCCCUCUUUAAUACUAAUGGAUCCUGUGCAAAAAGUAAUUUGAAAAUACCUUCCAAAGGGAGCAAAUGUGGUUUGUUCUCAGCCAAGGUGGAAGCCUUAAACAGAGCUCCCAGUGAAGGACUGCAAGAGAGCAGGAUACUUGCUGGGCACUGGAGGGCAAAAGCAGCAAAAAGAAAUUUCAGGCUUUUUUUUUGUGGGUACCUCAAAUUUGCUUCUGACAAACUUUUAAUUUCACUUUUUAUUUUAAGAAAUUGAAAGCAUUUUUCAUUUCUACAUAGUUUUUACUGUGUCUUUGAACUGUGAACCUUAUCGUUAUGAUUCAGCAGGGACUGGAGGAUGGGGGUUUUUGGCUUGGUGCAAUAAACAUGCUCUAACUAGCCAUUACUUUUGGUUCCCUGCUCUCAUAACUCUUGUUCUUUAUGUGAUGCUAUUUGCAUCUCAGCUACAGCAGGCAUCAAAUAAGAUGUUUAAUUAAAAAUGUUGACGGAGAUCCAAUUUAGGAUCAAAGAUGACAUGCUAUCAGAGAUCCAGAACCUUGAUACCACAAUAAUGGGUACCUUAGAAACAGUCAGAUGGGUUAGAUUAGAUAGUAAUUUAUUAUAGCUUGUUUCCUUUUUCUUAGUACUCAUUCCAGAGACCGUAACCUGAUGGAAGUUUUAAGAAGAAACAGUAAUUUUAAAAGUGAAAAGUAAAAGGCUUUCAGUUUAAACAAAACUGAUCAAAAAAUGAUGGAAAGAAGAAAAUGAGACCUUUAGAAUAUAUAUAAUCAAAAGCACAAUAAACAUUGACUGGGAGUGUAAUCCUGAAUGCUAACAUAAAUUUGUUCGUUGUAACAAACAUUUAGUCUAAUUUGAUCUUUGAAUGUAUUACUGCCAGAAACAGUAGAAUUUACAGGCACUAAUGUGUUGGUUACUCUUAAAAUCCUGCUGUAACUAUUGAUGCUGAUGGUGUCUCCCACUGAAAAGACCAUUUUAAUUAUCACUGUUAUCCAUCUCAGUGAAGUCUUUGCGUGUGUAUUAUUUACAGAUCAUGUUUUAAACUACUAAAUAAGUUGUGCACUGAGACGGGAACAAGAGAUAAAAUUAUGCUACAUUGCCAGCAGAGCACGACAAUAGGGCGUGAAUUUGAGCUCUUGUGAGUUAAGAGCUUGUGAUACAGCUCUCCCAAAAAAGCAGAGGCCGAGUUAGUUUGCUACAUGGCAGUGUGUCUGCACAGGUACAGCUCCCAUCUCACAGGAUAUUAAUGACCUCCGAAAAGAUGUGAGAACCCUCCACUUCUAAUGUAGCCUGUGGCAGUUAAUGGAACCAUUAAGUAGUAGAUAGGUAGUUAAUAAGCUUAUGUAAGCGAUGUGGUUUUACCUGUUUACUUUUGUUUUACUUCUGAAUGACUUUGAUUUUAGAUGAAGUAAUCUGAAUGGCUGUUUGGUGGACAACAGUAUUUUUUUUUUUUUUUUUAUUCUUUCACACUUAGAAAUUAUUCUAACAGCUCUUCCGGCUGAUAAAUCAUAACUAGGUUGGUUUCUAAUGCAUUUGAGCUACCAGCCAGUAUGUGCAGAAUGUUAUCAGUUUUCAUGUGCUACAGAUAGGGGAGGUGGAAAAGUGGUUUUAAAAUGGUGUUGAGCUACUGCAAAGAUUUUCCACUUGCUUCUCAGCCAUUGCUGUUGUGCAAUCUCAGGGCUAUUGCACUCAAGUGGUAGAGGGUACACUCUGCCAGGAGGGACACUCUGCAAAGCUUCCUUUGACACCGAUGGAACCCAAAAAGCUCUGAAAUGGGCAAAGUGCUGUUAUUCCCCCAGACUGACAAAGGAGCAUAACCGCGGCUCCCAGCCAUCUUUCGCCAAAAAGACUUUAAAUGACUUUCUAUUUUUUUUCCUUCUUACCCCAAAGUGGCUUUGGAAACACGUCAGGAAUGCAAAUAAAUGUAUAAAAGAGUCAGUCUAAUCGGGUGUACAGUUCUCAGAACUUCAUUACUCUUCGUUAUCUGAAAAACUGCAAAUAAGAAAGCGAACGCCAGCAGGGCAGAGAUGCAUUGUCACAUUGCGAAUUUUGUGUUAGGAGAGAUAUUUGUGAAUGCUAACAGAAAGCCUAGGAUCCAAAAUUCGGUGUGUGGGUUCAUUCUUGUGAAUGGAUGCUAUUUUUAGAAACGAACUAAAUUGAAAAAUCCUUAUUUUCCAUGCAAAUGGACAUCUUGUUUAAAUUCAGAGGAAAAAAAACCUUGGGGUUAAGUGUAAGACCCACAACUCAAUUUGCAUGUUGGGGAAUUCAGACUGUAACAGAAGCUUUGUCAUGUUAAGGUGAGGUCUUUCCUGUGGCUGUUCAAGUGGGCUCUAAAGACCUUUUAACAUGUAGCAGGAUAUUAAGGGGAGAAGGUCUGACUUACAUCCCUUUUUUUCAGACCCACUUCUGCAGGUUUCAGCACACUUUCCGUGCCUCGCCCGCGGGAUGUUGCUGAGGGCGGGAUAGGUGCCCAAUUGCCUACACACGGUUUCAUCAGGAAAGGUAUAUGAUUUAUUGCCCUGUAAAGGGUUUUGACAUGAAGCCUGUGAAAAGCACUAUAUAAAUGCCAAUACAAUAUAAAACGUCACACAAAUACUUUACUCAUUAAUUCUGACCCUGUGCUUUUGUAUUGGAGAGAAAUGGGAGUGAAAUAUGAAUGUGCUCCUUAUGCUGUAAAGGGAAAAAUGGGUUUGUGGAUUUGAUAAAGGCUGAUGUGUUAACCUGCCUUUGCGGUUCCUUUAAAGACAAGCAGCAAGAAAGCAAGAAGCCCAUUCUCUGCCCGGCUGUGAAUGGAAGUAAGUAAAGCACCAACAAAGGGAAAAUCCACAUUUGUCCAUCCUAACAGUCCUUGGUCACAAUACUGCUCUCAUGACACAAGCAGAUGAUUUCAGUUCUUUCUUAAAAUUUCAUCUAUUUCAGCACUGCUAGUGGAAGCCUUUCUGCCAUUGCCCCAUUACAUACCACCUCCU